CGGAGGGUGCGAGCGUUGUCCGGAAUCACUGGGCGUAAAGGGCGCGUAGGUGGCGCGGGCAGUCAACGGUGAAAGUUCGGGGCUCAACCCUGAAUCGGCCGUCGAUACUCCCGUGCUUGAGCACUGUAGAGGCUAAUGGAAUUCCGGGUGUAGCGGUGGAAUGCGUAGAGAUCCGGAAGAACACCGGUGGCGAAGGCGGUUAGCUGGGCAGUUGCUGACACUGAGGCGCGACAGCGUGGGGAGCAAACAGGAUUAGAUACCCUGGUAGUCCACGCCGUAAACGAUGGGUACUAGGUGCUUGGGGGAGCGACCCCCUGAGUGCCGGCGCUAACGCAUUAAGUACCCCGCCUGGGGAGUACGGCCGCAAGGCUG
rnacentral:rRNA from 1 species